UACUAGUUGGGUUCAUUAACCACUGAGCCACGACAGGAGCUCCUGGGAUCUCUCUGUAUUUUUUUUUAACAAUGAAUAUGCAUUUAUAAUUAUCAAAUAAAGGUUUUUUUGAAACAGCAUCUUCCUUGCCGAUUAUCCAGAUUCGGAUGUGCUUUUCUUGCCAGGAGAGUCUUGGCCAACACUACAAUCCAAAGGCUUAUAGAGCAUUAGCUCCACUGAUGUGGGGUUGAGAAUAACCUUACUUUGGACCAUUGGCUUCACUCUUCAGCAGAGAAGGUGUGGGAGUGGGUACAUGACCAUCCAGCAGCCCACAGAGUCAAGAAGUGGCUGCUGAAAGAUGCAGCAGAGACCAACUUGGAGUUGAUAUCCUUCAAAACUGUGGUGUUGCCCUUCAGGAUUUGGUCUCAGUGUGGACUCCUGUGUCCCCUGUAGGUGGAGUACAUAGGUCCGGGAACCAAGGUGGACCUGCUUAUCUGGAGGAAUGUGUGCAUCUAGUGCCUGCAACAUGAGGCUCUAUGGGUCUAGAAACCCUGGUUCCCAAAGGGAUAAUGCUUCCACCAGGAGGAAGUGGAAGUUCUAGUAAGUGUUAAGCCAUGGAUGCUACCUGAUAACCUCAGACUCCUCAUACUAAGUGACCAGCGGACAAUGAAAGCAUCACCCAUGACCAAGGUGAUUGACCUUGACUCUCAGAAGGUGAUAGGCUGUGUUACACUCUGGGGACAAGGAGGAAUAUCUUUGGGACUCAUGUAAUCUGCUGGGGCCUCUUCUGAUACGCCCAUCCUGACUUUAAAGGUAUAUGGAAAAGUGCAUCAGCCUUGAUCGGAAAAGGACACAGUACUCAGAUCCCUUAGGGAUGAGGGUCUGAGUCACACCACUUGGAACAGCAGAAGUAUCAGCCAAGGGUGAGGGAACUUUACAGCGGGCAGUACAGGAAGGAGAUGAUGAGUAUUCUUUAUGAUCUAAAGACAAGCUGCGGGGGGGGGGGCUGGGGGGGGUGGCUAGUGCAUCCCACAGACCCUCCUUAAGUUCCCCGAGGAAUCAGACCAGCCAGGAUCUUGGAGAAGCUGUUCCAAGAUGGAGUGGAUUUGAAGGGCACAAGAGGUGGUUUGGAACAGAUACUACGAUGCUCAGUGCAGGUGCGCCUUCGGCACUGAGAUACCCAUUCCCUCAGCAUUCAGGAGUGUUACCUAUGGAAGACUUGCAGCUCUGUCCCUCUCUGGGCAGUACUGUCAGCUGAAAGAAGCUUCCCUGGCUCAUUUCUGCACCCCUUCACUGGAGGCAACCCACAUCCAAAGACUGGUCAACCUGGGGCUACAAAGCCUUGGCCAGUGCUUUAAUUUGAGGCAUCUCUAGCCAAAGAGCAGCUCAAAAUUAACUUGCUCAAAACCAAGCUCUUGGAGUCCUCCCUAAACCUGUCCCCUCCCCAUUUCAGCAAACGCCAAUUCCCUGCCUCCAACUGUCCAGUCCAAAACCUUGGCACUUUGACUUCCCUCUCUCUGUUUCUCCAAACGUCUAUACCAGCAAAUCUUGUUGGCUCUAACUUCAUGUCCACAUUUUGAUCACUUCUCAGCACUGCCACUGAUAACCCUCUUCUCCAAAUCCCUAUAAAGUCGCACCUGCCACACACCACAGGCUCCUACCUGGCCCCCUGCUCCUGUGCGUUCCUCUUUUCCUCUGUUCAGUGUAAGCAGCCAACAUGAUCCUGUUAAGAGCUAAGUAAGAUAAUUUCAUUCUCAAACAAAUUCUUCUAGUGGCUUCUCAUCACACGUAGACUACAAGCUAAAACCUUUACGACAGCCUACACAGCCCGACACGAUCUGGCCCUGUGCCACCUGUCUGAACUCAUCUCCAGCCACUCUGUGCCUCCCCCACCCUGCUCCACGCUGUUCCUCAAGCUCUCCAAGGAUGCUUCUGCCCCAGUCUUUGUACUUGCCUCUCCCCCUGCCUGGAAUGCUCCAACCCAAGACAGCUGCAGCCCUCACUUCCCUUGGGGCUCCGCUCACCUCAUCAAACACGCUUCCUGACCAUCUUACAUGUAACGGCAACCUCCACUCCCACCUUGUCACCACCUGCUCUCCCAACCCCCCUUGCUUGGUACUUACCACCUGACAUAAUUUUUUUGGUUUUUGUCUGUCUCCCUCCCCCGGAAGGUAAGCUCCAUGAGGCUGGAGACUGUCUUUUGUUGACUGCACCGUAUCUCUAGUUCCUACAAGAGGGCUUGGCAGGUAGUAUAUACUCGAAAAAAUUGGUGGGAUGAACCAAUCAGAUUUUAGGGAUUUUAUAAUUUAGGCUUUCACACUACCCGCCUCCAUCCAAGACAGUCCAUCCUGAAAUGCAGAUACACCAAGACCCCCACCGUCCGCCCAUUGUCAUGUGUAACACACGCUGACCCAAUAAACCCCUUAGGGGGAAAUGCCUCUUCAGUUGUGAAUUCACUGUCCUGAACCAUCUGGAUCAGAGUGAGACUCAAAGAUUCAGGAAGGGAGUUCCCGUCGUGGCUCAGCAGAAAGGAAUCCUACUAGUCACCAUGAGGAUGUGGGUUCAAUCCCUGGCCUCGCUCAGUAGGUCACGGAUCCAGCGUUGCGGUGAGCUGUGGUGUAGGUCACAGAUGCGGCUCAGAUCUUGUGUGGCUGUGGCUGUGUGUAGGCCGGCAGCUGUAGCUCUAGCCUGGGAACCUCCAUAUGCCUCGGGUACGGUCCUAAAAAGCAAAAGAGAAAGAAAGAGAGAAAGAACGAAGGAAAGAAAGAAAAAAGAUUCAGAAAGAAGGAAGAGACCUGAGCCUGCAAGAGUGGCUCUUGGCCUGACAUCAGCGCCAACUUCUCCACCAGGCACAGUAUAUUUAGGGGUUCACAAAGCUCUUUAAUCCUUGUUUUUAAUGUCUUUUAGAAUCAGAAGAAAAAUGUGUUUAAUAAUAACUGGUAUAGGAUAAUGAAUCCACCUUGGAUCGCAUUCAUGUUUACACCAAUACGGUCGCGAAAUGGGAUGUCAAAUAUUUUCCCAUGGAGGAGGCAGCCCGCAAACGUCGCGGUGUGCCCUGCCCGACUAGCUCACCUCGAAGGCUCUGGCUCAUGUCAAGAGCUGGCAGACAAGGAGAUGGAGAGCGGCGCUCAGCAUGCCUUCCCAUUGAUUGUCUCCCCAGCCCGGCUUCUCAGCCCCGUGCUGUGAAACGGAAAACUGAAGCUCAGAACGCUUUGCCAGUGCCAUCCAGAUGGUAAGGGCCGUGCUAAGACUUGAGCCUAGGAUGUCAGAGACCCUGCCAUAGGCCACCUUACUGCCUGCAGAGCCGCGGGCACAGGUGUGUCCUUAGACACUUUUCUCAGAACUGCCCCUGCCUGCCAAAGGCCGUGCCACACCGGGCCCGGCCCCCUGAGUCACCCCAGCUCCACCCUGCCCUUCAAGAACCAGAUUUCUCCCAUCUGCCUCAGCUGCAGUGCCAAGCCCCUGCCCUACCCCUGGUUCCCAGUCUUAAUCAUGACACUUUGGAGAAAUAGGGACAAGUGGCAAUGCCCCACCCUAUGAAUAGGCAGGUCUGGCUGCCUUCUCCUACUUGUCAGGCCUUCCAAAGAACAGUAACUUGGUCCUGAGGAGGAAGAGACCAGCCUCAUUGCUCCCCGGCACAGGCCAGGUGCCAAAGCCUCCCUCCUCGGGCAGGUGAAACGGCCUACAGAGACUCCAAGUGCCUCUAUGUCCACACCUAGUCCUUGUCAGCGUGAGCUCAGGGGUACGUAAGUUCUCCUGAGCGCCAAGCAAAUAUCUCUAAGAGAGUCACCUUGUCAGCCUUCAUCUUUUGCUCCUAUUUGACACCCUCUGCCCCCAAAUAAAAGUGGCUGAGUUAUUAUUCAAGUUCAGGAGGAGAGCUAGAAAACAGAGCAUGGACUUGGGAAUAGAAGGGCCUAGUUGAAUUUCAGCCCUGGGGGUAAAUACUUUUUCUUCCUUCCUUCCUUUCAUUUAUUUUGCUUUUUAGGGCCACGCUAGCAGCAUAUGGAAAUUCCCAGGCUAGGGGUCAAAUCAGAGCCGCAGCUGCUGGCCACAGCAACACAGGAUCCGAGCUACAUCUGCAACCUAUACCACAGCUCACGGCAACGCCAAAUCCCCGACGCACUGAAUGAGGCCAGGGAUGGAGUCUGCAUCCUCAUGGAUACCAGUUGGAUUUGUUUCUGCUGUACCACGAUGGGAAGUCCCAGUAAAUAACAUUUUUAAAUGUAACUACAACUUGAUAAACACAAAAAGAACAAAAUUUCAUAAAGUGGUUAGCAUAGGAUCUGGAAUUGGGGUGUGCCAUAAAUGUUAGUGACGUUUUAUACCUAGUAUGCCUCCACUCUAAGUAGCCUAGUGUCUUGGUGGAUGUAUUUUCUGGGUAUCCUCCUUAAUUCAUUUCACAUUUAUUUUCACUUACUGCAUCUCAGCCACUAUGUAAGUAGUGGAGAUAUAAUGAUAAAUAGAAGGAAUCUUUGCCUCGGAGGACCUUGUGCUCCACUGGGGAUUGCAGAGAAGUGAGCAAUCAGCUACAGUACGUUGUGGUAGCUGUGAAGCGCUGCAUCUUAACUGAGGGUGUUACCAUCCGGGAACCGGAAAAUGAGGGGGUAGAGAAGCACUUAGCUUUUGGAGAUUAGGGAGCGCCCAGAUAAACAGCAAGAAACCAAAUCGUGUUGGUAAACAAGAAAGACCAGGAUAGAUAAAGGGUCCUGGCAUUUGGCGUUUUAUAAAGUAGAAGGUGGAAACUUAGCUGUUCUCGGGGAUUCUCCCUUAGAAAGAAGCCCCAUCAGGACCCGGGGAUUUAGCCCUAGGAGUUAUUAUCUAAAUGACGAAGACUACUUUUAUUAGCUUUAUGAGUAAUGAGUGGAGUAGGCUGCCCCAUCACAUGUGUUCUGAGACAAAUGAGGGGGUGCCUUAGCCUCGUGCCAAAAUGCCCCCUUCCUGUUCUGGAAAGUUCGUCAUUAGCGUCAGUCCUGAAGGAUGAUUUUCGCCCUUCUUUUCAAGGCAUAUAGUCCAGAGAGAGAUGCCUGCGCUCUGGCUCUUCCUUCACUGGGGCUGCUCUUUUCCACAUAUUCAAAUCCUGUCUAUCACUCGGCCCAGACUGCUUCCUCAGCAGUUUUGUUCCAGCCUGCUCUCCCUUUUGGAAGGACUCCUACUGCUGGUACGAGUCAUCGAUCCAGCAGGGAUGGUCUUGUGUGGCUUCUUGGUUAGACUCUGCGUGUGCAUGCGUGCGUGCGUGUGUGUGUGUGGUGUGUGUGUGUGUGUGUGAGAGAGAGAGAGAGAGAGAGAGAGGGUGUACACAUGCUUAGCUUUUGAUGGACAUUGACGGUGCAUCUGUCAGUGACAGCGAGGCCCUACUUUCCUAAAGUUCACUUUACGCCACUUGGCUUUUUUGAAAGGCCUACAUUUGUACCUAUUUUCAUUAACGGAAAGAAAUCCAAAGGGAAUUCUCACUUGUAAGAGAAAAGGUAAUUGCUUCUGCACUUUACACCAUUUCAGCUUCCGAAAGCUUUCGUAGGAACUCUGUUUUUGGAGAGCGGGGAAACCUCUCCAUGGUUGCAUUACAAAUCACCCCCAAACAACGACUCUUAAAACGACUCUGUAUUUACUCACAACUCUACAACACGUGCUGGGAGUAGUGGUAGUGCUUCCACUGGUUGGCUUGAUGUCUCACGCAGCUGCUGUCAUCUAGAGGCUCAAAUGUGAAGGAGGAAUCCAAGAGGGUUUCAUUCACAUGUCAGCAGAGGAGGUGACAACAGCAAGGGGCCAGCUGGCCCCUCUCUCUGUGCGGUGUCUCAUUCUCCAGGGCCUCUCCAGCAGGUCAUCCUGGGCUUCCUAACAGCAUGGCUGCUGAGCUCCCAAAGGGAGUAUUUCUGGAAGCAGAGCUCCAGCAGGCAAGCACUUACCCAUUGCUUCAUAUUUGUUAAUACCUCAUUGGCCAAGGAAGUCGCACAACAAACCCUAGAGUCAGCCGGAAAAGGACUUAAAAGGAUCUGUCUAGCAGGAGGUGUAGGGAGGUUUGGGGUAAGGAAGGGCCGCUGAUGUCUACCACAGCCUAUACACAGAGAUUGCAUCUUUUUUUUUUUUUUUUUUGAAACUUUCACAUUUACCAGCAGCAUCUAGAGUAUUUUGGUCGUGCUCAACAAAUCCUUGAUGACUAACAAAUGGUAAGUAGAGUUAAUUGCCAGCAAAGCUCUGUAGGAUGGGCCUUGAAGGCAAGAGCUGAAGGUCGUGCCAGCAGGAAAGCUGGGGCUUGGAAGGAAAGAGGGUUGAACGCCAAACACAAAUGGGUAGAUUUUAGUGAAUUUCAUUAACGUCCUCCCCAUUGAUUUCAAGACUAGAAAAAUGUAUCAAUAAAGAUCAAAAUAUCAAAAGUAUGGUCAGCUCAGCACUGUGUUUGGCCUCAUGUAGGUUAUAGCAGAAAAUUGGGCCUUUGAGGUCGCUGAAGAAACAGGAAAUAAAAACAGGAAAACUUAAAUAUUACAAGGCCUGAUAACGUUUUAACAUAGUGCAUAUCCCAUAAUAGGCACUCAAGAAGUGUUCUAGAAAGAAGGAACAAGAUAUGGUCAGGAAAUGAAUCAGGUUAGUCUAGGAUUCAGCAAACUACAAUCCAGAGGCCAAAUGCGACCCACCAACUUUUUUUUUCUUUUUUUUUUUUUGUCUUUUCUAGGGUCGCUCUCAUAGCAUAUGGAGGUUCCCAGGCUAGGGGUCUAAUCGGAGCUAUAGUCGCUGGCCUACACCAGAGCCACAGCAACACCAGAUCCAAGCCACUUCUGUGACCUACACCUCAGCUCAUGGCAACGCCGGAUCCUUAACCCACUGAGCAGGCCAGGAAUCGUCCUCAUGGAUACCAGUUGUGUUCUGUAACCACUGAGCCACGACGGGAACUCGUGGAACUUCUGGUUGCCAAGAGAAAGGGGGAGGGAGUGGGAUGGACUGGGAGUUUGGGGUUAGUAAAUGCUAACUAUUACAUUUAGAAUGGAUAAGCAAUAAGGUCCUGCUGUAUGGCACAGGAACUAUAUCUAAUCACUUGUGAUAGAACAUGAAGGAAGAUAAUAUGAGAAAAAGAAUGUAUAUAUAUGUAUGCUGUACAACAGAAAUUGACAGAAUACUGUAAAUCAACUAUAAAAAAAGUUUUUUAAAUUAGCUCAAAGUAGAGCACAGGCCUAAAUGUAAGAGCUAAAAUUAUUAAACUUUUAGAAGAAAACAGGAGAAAAUCUUAGUGACCUUGGAUUAGGCAACAUUUUCUCUCUUUAAAUUAAAACAAUUUAAUAAAAAUUUAAGGUAAAAAAAAAAAGAGCACAGCCUCUCCCCAGGGCUGACUUAUUCAAAAACACACUAAGGGCCCCAUGAUAUUUUAAGGGCCAAAAAAAAAUCUUCUUUUAAAACCAGAAGAAAAAAGAAUGCAAUAAUAAUGGAUAUGUAAUAAUGAAUCCAGCCUGGAUUAUACUCACUUUUAUGCAAAUUAUAGAAUUGUAUGAUCAAAUUAUAUAAUUAUGUAAUUUUUUCCUAUUUUUCAGUGGUGGAAGGAGGCUCCAAAGGCACAAGUACCUUGGGCCAGCAACUGCCAUAAUGCAGUCCUGACUCCUCAAGUAACAGGUUUCAGAAAACUUGAUGGCGAGAGGAUUUGUCCCAGGAUCUGAGCAGAAUUCCCGCUGUGACCAUGUCCUUUCUGGGCCCAGAGUCCUUAGAACUGAACACAGCUGCCUUUGACCUUUGAGUCAGGAUAAAAACAGCUAAGCUCUCGGGGAAGGAAGUGGAGGCGGGCAGCUAGUAAAGAAGUGUGCUGGUGUUGAUUCAGCCGCCCCGGGGCCCCACAAGGCUGGCCUGCCCAGCAAUGCCCCUGCCCCAGGGUCCCUGCUGAGGACAGAGCAGGGCCCGGCCCAGGCCCUACUUGAAUUAACGUUGCUUCAGGCCCAAGAGUGUUGACUCAAGCCUGGUUCCUUCACCCCUCCCUGGCUGCGCAGAUUGCUCUGGGGGAGCUGCCCUCCACUCCAGAGCUUUUCAAGGAGUGAGCACAGCCUGGAAUUUGCUUUCAAGCUCUCCUCCUUGCUGCAGUAGGUGCUCAGGCACCAAGGAGUUCGUAUGUUGAUUAACCAGCUGCUUUAAUUUUCCACCACAAUUCUCCCCCCACUUCUCUUGGUUUCUGCCUCACCGUGUUCUUCGUGGUGGCAGAAUGACAUCUGCAUUUCUUAAAGUCAGGGCAGUGGGUGCUACUGCAAACGCAACUUAAAAUUUAUCUAAUAGAUGGUCUUUGUUAGGGCUUGAAUUGUGUCCCCUCCCCCCUCAAAAAAAAAAAAAAAGAUAUAUUGACGUCCUAAUCCUCAGUGCCUCAGAACGUGACCUUAUUUGGAACUUUGCAGGUGAAAUCAACUAAGAUGGGGUCAUCCUGGAGCAGGGUGGACCCCAGUGCAACAUGACUGGUUUCCUUAUGAAAAGAAUACCGUGUGCAGAGUCAGAGACACGCAGGUUGGAGCGAGCCAUGGGCAGGCACAAGCAGAGACAGGAGAGACGCUGUCAAAAGCCAGGGAAGGCCUGGGGCCACCAUAAACUGGAAGAGACAAGAAAGUUCAUCUCCUAGAGGCUUAGAGGGGCCAUGACCCUGCAACACCUCGAUUUCAGACUUCGCCUCCAGAACCGGGAGAAGGGAAAUUUCUGCUGUUUUAUGCCGCUGGUUUGUAGUGGUUUUUUUUCUGGCAGCCCUAGGAAACGAAUGGAGUCUUUGAAGCAAAUAAUCCACACAGCUGGAGCGUCAAGACUCAAUUGCCUGACAUCAUAAUCACACCAAGCCCUUGUUCCGAGGAAAAAUUUCACUUCUCUAAAGUUCUGUCUUCUCCAUUAUCUCACUUUAGCCCCAUGGCUACUCUGUGACACACGGCAGAGUUUAUUAUCCCUCAUUUCCAGAUACAAAAUCUGAAGCUUGGGAGGAAACCCACUCACCGCCAGUCAUGCCUAAGUGUCUCUGUGGCUUAGAAGAAAAUUAGCAGUAACAGAAAUUCAAACUCAGCUCUGCCUCUAACUUGAUCUACCUGCACAGCCACUGAAGACCCACAGAAACCAGGAUCAGCAUUUGGCAACCACUUCUGAAAUCUCUCGGGGUCUCCUUUAGCUUAUCAGAGGGUAUUAGAUUUCUCCUCGAAUCCCUUCUUCCUCCAAACACUUUAGGACUCUCUGACUCAGCCCAGAGCCUCUUCCUACUCACACAGCUGGAAACGGGGCCCCUAGGUAUGGGCUGUGACGGCAAGAAUGCCCUGGUCAGAGGAGCCAGAUGCAUGAAUGUCAGGUUCUGUCCUUAGACCACACUGUCCCCUGCCGUGCUCCAAGAGAGCGACCAAGAGUUGUUUUGGUGGCGUCAGCAGCUAUUGGGAUUCAGACCCAGUGGUGUGCGGAGACUUGGUGCCCUGAACUGAUCGAGAGGAGACUGGUAGCAUCCAUAUUCACUGCAUCCAAGGAUUGGGACUUGGACGUCUUUGGGUACCAUUAUUCUGCCUACCACCGUCUCCAAGCUCUGUAAGGACAGAAAGUUGGUCAUAGUCUCUGCUGCAUCUUCAGUACCUGGAACGUGGCAAACACCUCUGCUCAAUCUUGGCAACCAUCCACAACCCACAGACAAAAAUAGCCCAGCUGGCCUCUGGAAGCACUUGGCUUUCACUGAUGAGAAACACACGCCCAUUUGGUUUACUUUCCCUUCAGAAGUCCAGGAAGUCUCUUGACAGAAGAUACUGGGAAGGUUUAGUGAAGGCCAAGGGUUUAAGUUUUGAAAACUAAACCAUUUGACAGGUCCUGUGAAGGUGAUGAAAGCCAAGAAACUUAUGGUCGAUUUGAAACUCUUGCACUUUCUGUCUCCUUCGCUACAUAUGGUGAGACAUUCACCAUGGUGACUUAGAUGCAGAAAAAAUUCAACUACAGCAAGGCAGGUUUGUGCCCCAUGGAAGAAAGAUCUUUCUUGUAGAACCAUCCAUGAAUUGAAGAAUUGGUCCUGGAAGGUGUGAAAUCAUUCCCAUGGGAUGUGACGCUGACUCAUCUGUCAGCCAUACCACGGAUGUGAGGUUGGAGCCAGAUGACCCUUGAGAUAGCUUCUAAUCCCUAAUUCUAUGACUCUAUGGUCAUUGUCACCAUAAACUUUGAAGACCUGUGGUGGAGUACAGGAGCUUGUGAUAGAGCACAGGGAACAAAUGAGGUCAGAAAAGGCAUAUUUAAGAGUUAGAACUAGUCAUGUUCUGAGGGAUAGUCCUGCAAAGCUCUGAGGCUAUGGUAAUUAUAUAAUCCUAGGAAUAUAUAUAUAUAUAGAGAGUAUAUAUUACAUAUAUAAUACUUAUAUAAUUGUAGGAGAAUGUGCAAAAUCCUAGGAAUAUUCCUGGUCAUUUCAAUCAUUGAGAAUCUAGUCAGCCUCACCUCUGAGCAGUGUCUGCUAAUCAGCUCUCUGUCUUUAAAAUGGUCCAAAUCAGUGUUGGAUAUGUUCUUUUCUCUGUCUGAAACACUGUAUUAUCUGCAUGUCGUGUUACCUCGUCUCCUUCAAGUGUUUGCUCAAUUGUCACCUUAUAGUGAAGCCUUCCUAGAGCAUUCUACUAUUUAUCCAACCUGCCUUUUAAUUGUUAUUUAGACCAUUUAUAUUUAGUAUAAUUAUCGACAGAGCUGACUUCUAAGUCAACUCUCUUGCUAUUCACUUUCAGUUUAUCCCAUUUAUUCUCUGUUCCUUUUUUAAAGCUGUAUUCCUGCUUGCUUUUGUAUAAAGCAAAAAAAAAUUUUUUUUCAGUGUUCUAUCUUCUCUGUUGACAUUUUAGC